UCCUGUUCCUAAGUACUAGUGCCGCAGGAGUGAUUAGGCUGCGUGAGACAUUACCGUAUCUCCUGCUGCUCAAGUGCUUAUCAACGGGU
rnacentral:pre_miRNA from 1 species